rnacentral:rRNA from 1 species
UACGAGAGGCCCAAACGUUAUUCGGAAUUACUGGGCUUAAAGAGUUCGUAGGCGGCGCAGCAAGUAGGGUGUGAAAGCCCUCGGCUCAACCGAGGAAUUGCGCUCUAAACUACUGUGCUUGAGGAAGCUAGAGGUGAGCAGAACAGAUGGUGGAGCGGUGAAAUGCGUUGAUAUCAUCUGGAAUACCGGAGGCGAAGGCGGCUCACUGGGGCUUUUCUGACGCUGAGACGCGAAAGCGCGGGGAGCGAACGGG